UGAAGGACAUCUUGGUCACUUCCAGGUUUGGCAAUUAUGAGUACAGUUUCUAGAAACAUCUGUGGGCAGGUUUUUGUGCGGACAUAAUUUUCCAGCAUGUUUGGGUAAAUACCAAGGAGUGCAAAUGCCGGAUUGUACGGAUGCUGAAGACAAGAAGAAACACACAGUAGGGCUGAAAGUGAAAGGGGGUAUCAGAUUUGCCCUUUCUUUGCUCAGAAACGAGAGACCAGGACUCCUCUUUCAUUCGGCAGCUCUGGCAAUGAGACCUGAUGCAGUAACAGGGAGUUGGUUCUGUCCACUUGGAAAUUCGUGAAAAAUGUCUGUGAAUUCCGAAUGGUCACCCGUGCAGCUUUCUCAGUCCUGGUGAAUGUGGCUGCUCCAUAUCUGGACAAGGCAUGGAGCGCCACCACCGUGUCCUGGAAGAGAGGAGUGGAGAACGCACCCCCAAAGACUUCCCAUCUGCCAAGUGAAUCUGGAAGAGAAGACUAUUUGGGAACCACAGACCUGGGUGGAGGAGAAGCCCCCGUGGGCAUUCUGUUGCUUUAGGAUCCAGCUCACGAUGCCCGCGGCCGAAGUCAGGUCCUCGGAGGUCGGGCCGGGCUGGGCCGUGAGGGCAAAAGCGUAGGCCAACAGCGCCUUGGUGUAGCUAUGGCUCCCAUGGGUCCCCUCCUUUGCCGUGUUCCAGGCAGACUCCAGGCAGAAGAGGGCGUUGCGAACAACCGGGUGCUGCAAAGACCAGGAGGGACCUCAGCAAUCUCAUUUCCACACAGCUCGAGGGACGGCACUGCCUCUGCACUCACCGAGAAGUUCACACUCCCUGGAACAGAAAAACGUAGAAAAACAUGCGCGUUCACCUUGAGAGCAGUCCACACCAUCCCUAAUAGCUGAAAAUGUGUGCUUGUCAAAUGGUCUACCACUGAGCUAUUACCCCGGAAAAUGACUCUGUGCUCUGUCAUCAUCUUGAAGGGCUGCCCUUUCACCUUACUGUUGGCCGGAAGUGGGAAAUAAAGCUGAAAAAAACCUCAA